rnacentral:tRNA from 1 species
GGGGCCGAUGUCCGGGCCUCCAGGAUGGUAUCCUCUGGUGACACCUCGGUCUCCAGGGGUUCUGCCGGCCCCAUGGCCUCAC